GCCUCGUCACGUCCCAAAACAAAAACGCGACCACCCCCCGGACCCGACGAGAGACCAGGACAAACACCCGUCCGUCCAGCCCCCCCUUCCUCUCCGCCCCGCCUCCAUGGACGCGUACCACCACCAGCAGCGCCGCUUCGACGGCUCCGGCGACGCGCCGCCGCCGCAGCCCCCUCCCCCCUCCCACUGGUACCCUAGCCCCGCGCCGCCGUACCAUCCGCCCCACCCCAACCACCCGUACCCUCCCCAGCACCACCAGUGGGGCCAUCCGCCCCCCGACCUCCAGCACCAGCACCGCCCCCCGCCGCCGCAGUACGCGUACCAGGCCCCUCCCCCGCCGAUGCAGCAGCAGAUGCAGCCGCCGCCCCCCGCGCCAGGGAACCCCYUGGCCUCCCCNN
rnacentral:lncRNA from 1 species